rnacentral:sRNA from 1 species
UGGUAUGACCGUGUCAUCGACGUAGCGC